UAUCCUUGGGGAAGGGUGAAAGUCCCUAUCGGUGGUUAUAGUCCACGAGCUUUUAGCAUGAUUUGGUGAAAUUCCAAAACCGACAGUUACAGUCUGGAUGAGAAAGGAU
rnacentral:ncRNA from 1 species